rnacentral:pre_miRNA from 1 species
CAACUACUCCCUCUGUCCCAAAUUUCUUGUCUUAGAUUUGUCUAGAUAUGGAUGUAUCUAAUACUAAAAUGUGACUUGAUACAUCCGUAUCUAGACAAACCUAAGACAAGAAUUUUGGGACGGAGGGAGUACUUU